rnacentral:rRNA from 1 species
ACGGAAGGCAGCAGUGGGGAAUAUUGCACAAUGGGGGGAACCCUGAUGCAGCGACGCCGCGUGAGUGAAGAAGUAUUUCGGUAUGUAAAGCUCUAUCAGCAAGGAAGAAAAUGACGGUACUUGACUAAGAAGCCCCGGCUAACUACGUGCCAGCAGCCGCGGUAAUACGUAGGGGGCAAGCGUUAUCCGGAUUUACUGGGUGUAAAGGGAGCGUAGACGGUAAUGCAAGUCAGAAGUGAAAGCCCAAGGCUCAACCAUGGGACUGCUUUUGAAACUGUAAUACUAGAGUGCAGGAGAGGUAAGUGGAAUUCCUAGUGUAGCGGUGAAAUGCGUAGAUAUUAGGAGGAACACCAGUGGCGAAGGCGGCUUACUGGACUGUAACUGACGUUGAGGCUCGAAAGCGUGGGGAGCAAACAGGAUUAGAUACCCUGGUA